GACGAACGCUGGCGGCGUGCUUAACACAUGCAAGUCGAACGACGUGGCGAACGGGUGAGUAAUACGUGACUAACCUGCCCUCCUUUUUGGGAUAAGCCUUGGAAACGGGGUCUAAUACCGGCUAAAGGGGGAUGGGCUCGCGGCCUUUCAGCUUGUUGGUGGGGUGAUGGCCUACCAAGGCGGUGACGGGUCGCCGGCCUGAGAGGGUGCACUGGCACUGUGGGACUGCGCUACGGCCCAGACGCCGAAGGAAUGGAGCAGUGGGGGCUAUUGGACAAUGGUCGAUAGAGGGAUGCAGCGACGCUGCGGGGGGGAUGAAGGCUUUCGAGUUGUAAACGUAGUUCGGUAACGAACGGGUAGGUGGAGAAGAAGCGCCGGCUAACUACGUGCCAGCAGCCGCGGUAAUUC
rnacentral:rRNA from 1 species